CAGUCGCCACGGUAACACGAGGGGGGCAAGCGUUGUUCGGAAUUAUUGGGCGUAAAGGGUGCGUAGGCGGUUUGAUAAGUCUUGUGUGAAAUCUCUGGGCUCAACCCAGAGUCUGCACAGGAAACUGUCGGGCUUGAGUAUUGGAGAGGUGAGUGGAAUUUCCGGUGUAGCGGUGAAAUGCGUAGAUAUCGGAAGGAACACCUGUGGCGAAAGCGGCUCACUGGACAAUUACUGACGCUGAUGCACGAAAGCUAGGGGAGCAAACAGGAUUAGAUACCCCAGUAGUCCCUGUCUCUUAUAC
rnacentral:rRNA from 1 species